UGAUCAGUCCCUGCAUUAGCCAUACUCACUGGCUCUGGAAUGAGCAAGGCUGCGGGGGCAGACAGUGUUUGCAGACUCAUCAUCAUAGACAUAGUUGUAUGAUCUCUUUUAAAUGAGUGAAUAGAGGAGUAGGAGACAAUAACAAAAAUAGAAAUAUUUUUUUCAUAAGAAGUAUUUCACUUUAAACGGAAAAGAUGACAGAAAUGUACGAUCUCCUCAGUGCAGCAGAUGGAUCUCUAAUAGUUAAUGAGAUGAACUUUCAGUGAUUUUUCAAAUUCUGUAAUUUACAUUAGUGGAUGCUGUAUAUGAACCAUGGAAGUGUAUGUUUCAGUGCCAGUGUUUAAAACUGCACCUAGACUUUAACAGACUAGGAGAAAAAAAAAGACCGUAUUUUAUUCUUCGUUUAAAAGGUGCAGAAUUUUAGCUUUGUAAAGAUUGGUUAAUUGCCAAGUACAGGGGAAUUAAAAAUGAGAAUUGCGUGUUUAUUAUCCAUUUUUAUGUUUUUUUUUCCUUUCUGAACCCAGACUCCAGGCCAGCCUCCCAUCCAAGUUUUCCUUCAUGCCUUAUUGUCUAUUCUGUUCAGCUAUUUAAAAAAUGUUGAAUAUCAACAAUGGCUUUCAGUAGGGUAUUGUCAACUUUUGUAUGAAGCAAUCUUGGUUGAAUGAGAAGAUCCCAGAGCUUAUAGUUCUAUCUACUGUGCUGCACUGGGUUUCUGCUUGAAUGUGUGUGACUGAUAACAGGACAAAUUUCUACCUUCGUUAUUACAUUUCAGCUACAUAAUUCAUUUGCCAAAAUCUUUUAGGAAAUAUCUUUAUAACACAUUGCACGAGACAUCAGUCUUCAUCUUUAAUUAAAGAAGAUUAAAGACAAGAAAGCCUUAAAGAAAUGUUUGAUGGACAUCUUGAGGAAGAUAUGAAAGCAGCAGUAAACAAAAAGUGAAUUUCCCAAGGAGUUGGUGCUGGAACUGAAAACCCAUCAGCCACGGUCCUACAUGUGUGAGAGCAAAACUCCCCUGGUAUCCAUCCCUAUCUAAGGAGCGGAGUGAUACAAAUCAGGAUAUGUAAAUUCGAGCAAUGGAUCUUAAUUAUGAGCAGCAGGUGUCUGUGCAAGAGUGCUCAGUAGAAAUCUUGGAGACAUGUCUGCAAACUUAAGAUUUUAACCUCCUAUCCAUUUGCAAAUCUUUGGAAGCCAGGAUUAUUUCUGAAUAAGGACUGAAGCACCUCCAGUUGUAUAGAGGAAAUGUUAUCACGCAGCAGCGGACAAAACAGGCACGGUGCUUUACAACAGGAUGCGUGAAGGAAGGCUCUGAGGUGGGGAGCGCCACCUGCUGCGGGCAAUGCACCGAGCGACCCUUCAACAACUGUUACAUCGGCAUCAUAACUGCAUUGAUGGGAAAUGAGUUACCAAAGUUGUGGUAUUUUGUAUCCUACGCCUUCCAUCAGUCAUUACAGAAGGUAAAAAGCAGCUGAUCGCCACUGUCAGUCAGAAGAACAUCUUAACUGAUACCACCUGAAGAUAUUUUCUGUUUAAAAAGAUAAAUGGCAAAAGCUGAUCUACUAAAAUGAUCUGUUUGGGAGUUGGGAACUCUUCACCAGCAUGUGGCCUUGCAGACCAAUUAGACCAAUGACUGCCAGAGCUCUGUGGGCACUAAUGGCCUUAAGCAGCCCCACCUGUGGCCAUCAGCAGUUCUGCCCUAGAGAUGCUCGCUGCUGCCUGUCUUCGUGUGAGGCUUAUCAAAGUGCACUUUGUCUUUGGAACAGCACUGACUGAGCCAGCACAAGAUCUCGUAUUCUUCAGUGUAUAAUGAAAAGGUACCUACCCAGUGCCACUCGUGCAGCUGAAGCAUCAUAAUUGAUCCAGAAGGAAACCCAGGACAGA